GCCCUGGUGGUCUAGCGGUAUGAUUCUUCCUUAGGGUUGUCGAAAGAUAUGUGCACUUGGAAGAGGUCCCAGGUUCGAUCCCUGGCCAGGGCC
rnacentral:tRNA from 1 species